AAAUACGGGUCUCUUUUCAACACCCCUCAUUUUUCGAUCUCUCUUCCUCUACUGCUCUACAUGCGAGCAACCAGAAGUUAAGAAUUAGUUUCUCUCUCCUCUUCAACCUUCAAAAAGUUUCACUCUUCACAAAAAAAGAGGGAGUCUCAGUAGAAAACCCUAAAACCGGCAACGAUGAAGAAACUUUUGGUGCUAAUCUGCGAUCCAAAGAAGAAAAUAAUCGAGAAAUUGAAGAACCGCAACCGACACCUUCUUUCCACGCUUUUAAUCCAAGGUAUAGGACAGAUAAGUCGAAAAGGAUUGCGGCAGAAGUAUGAGUUGUCCUUAGGAUUCAAAGUCGGAUUGCUGAACAUAUUAGAAGUCUUGAGGAAUAGGGAAUUCUUCAGGUUGAAGAGCUUGUCAGAAUGAGUGCAAUGGUUUAGGAAUUGUCGGAUUUGCACAAGGUAAGAGAGAUGCAACGUGAAGGCUUGAGGAUACAAAACAAAAGCCAAAUUCCAUGGGAGUAUCAUCCUCUGCCAUAUUUUUCUGUAAUUGCGAGGAGAGUUGAUCUUAGCAUUCAUAGGAAAAAUUUGUAGAUACAUAUCACCGGUAAGAGCUAUAUAUUUCUUCUUGUCACCUCCAAUGUAUUUCAGAUAAUUCAUUCGCAUUUUCCUCCGUCCAUUUAUUUUUAAUUGAUUUCUUCCCUCGUGAAACUUCAAAUGCAAAUUAAGUUAAUGAUUCAACUUAAGUUUCGUAAUUGAUUGAAUGGGUUUUACCAGUUUUUAUAUACUUGGUUGAGUUAAUUUAUAAUUUUAGAUACAUUUUGAACUAAAUUUUGGUGAAAUAAAUUUAUACAAAUUUUUUUGGUAACUAUAUGCCUUCUAUAAUUUCGAAUAGAGUAGGGGAGAAAGAACUAAUUAAUCAGGGAUUGUGGAAACCGAGUUUACUGUUAUUUAGAUUUUGUAAUGCUCUCGCUUUUAUAAUAGUAUAUAAUAUCAUUGUUCAUUUUAGUAUUAGUUUUACUUAUCAUGUGUUUGCAUCGUUUGUUAUGAUAUCAUCUGUGAUUCACCUGAAUGAGCGACUUGACAUCUUCUAGGCCAACGUCAUUUUUUUUGUCUUAGAGAUUUGCUGGUUUUUAUAUGUUGACAUUUGUGGUGGGAGUGGUACACCUGCAACUAUCUUCCUAUUCACAGAGAGGCAGCCUCCUGUAUCGAAUUUCAAUUGUAGGUUGCAUUGUAAAGUUGAAUCAUUUUCUAUGGUUCAAGAUGCAGAGUCUACCGAAGACCAAUUUGAUUCAGUAAAAUUUUGAGUUAGGAGGUUAUACUUGGUGAGUUUCAUAUAAAUUCAGUCGUUUAUCUUAGUGUAAUUUAGCUACUACCAUUCUCUUUAUGUGGCAGUGGUUGAUAAACUCAGCAUUGGAAGCUUCGUCAGUGUUUCAUUUUUUCAUUUAUGAUCAGACUCGAGAAAACUAUUUGACUGUCUUAGGUUUAGAUUUUUUCACUUUCUCGGUGUGAUGUAUCUUUAUGAUCAGGUUUGAGAUAACUUUGAUUCAUUUCACAUAUAAGGGAGCAGCGGUUUCAUGCUUUCAAGAAUAUAUCGGGAGUUUUAAAGUUUCUGUUUCUAGGGUCUUUAAGUGGUGCAGUUAAUGGUUAUGGAACGAACUACGAUUCCUGCCAGCAAAUUAUGGUAACAUAUAAUAGAGUAAUGCAUGAAUGGUUGAGGAAAGAUGAUAGUUGUAUAUUGAUUAAGCUGAAAGCUUGAUUACAAGGUGAGACUCUUCGAGAGGUCUCUUUCUCCCAGGGCUAAGCCAAACAAUUCACAAGAUGGUUUCUGCUUUCUUCCCUUCCCCUUUUAAUACCAAAAUCAGUACAAGACAAAGCUAAUUAAUUAAAAGCAACUAAGACAAAAUAAGUCAGAUGAGACAAAUGACAUUAAGAGUAGCAGGCAGCAGGCUUUGCAUCCACUAUGGGUUGUGGUUCCUCCCUUCCUCCUGGUAGCUGCCUUCUAUUUCUUCUCCUCUUUCUUGUUGUGCCAUUUUCCCUCUUCUUCUUCUUCUUCUUCUGACAUAGGUCUGAAAUAUUGGAGGGUUAGGUUGGUGUGUUGCAGGUUACCUAGUUGAUUAAUGCUGCGUAUUUGGCCCUGAGGUUUUUAUUAAGGAUAGAAAGAUCAAAAGAUCCAUAAUGUUUAUUUGAGAGUAGAAUGUGACAGGUCGAUCCAGAUUUGGACAAUCGAAAGUUUCUCAGAUUUGGAUAACGAAUCAUAUUCUCCUGAAUCCAGUUUUGUGAAUGACUGAAUGGUCUUGGCAGCAAUGGGGAACUUCUGUUCGUUGUGAAGGAUGGAAAUCUAGUCAUGAUGAGGAAACUGUUGACGGGCUCAUAAAGUGUGAGAAAUGGAUCCCUGACGAUGACAGUAAUAAUGAAGAAUCCAGGGCAACAUGGUGGUUAAGUCGGCUAUUGAGCAGGCCGAAGAAGGUGACAGUGGAUUGGUAGUGUUUGCUUAAGUGCAUGGCGUCAAAAUCAUACACAAGAUUCUUGGACUUAGCAGUUGGAGGGUAUCUAGAUUUACCUCAAACUCCUAGAAACCUUCCCAAGGUGAUGAUUGUCUAUAUGUAUCUGAUGCAGACUCCAACGAAAGUAAAGCUGCUAUUUUAGAUACUUCCACAUUGAGAUAUCGUGACAGAAAAAUUGCAGUGUCAAAUUUUCUUCUAAUAAAUUCUCAAAAGGAGUCUAAAUCUGGUUACUGGAGCUUCAGUUAGAUGAAGAUUAGGCUGGUCCGUUCUUGUAUUAGAUCACAAACCUGAAGAAAUUUUAUUUUGUGGUAAUUGUAUAAAUAAUUUUGGAAUUACCAAUUUAAAUAUAUGCUGAUUUUUUAGGCCGGUAAAUGGUCUGUUUA